CGAUACGACCGUACCGCAAACCGACACUGGUGCGCGAGAUGAGUAUUCUAAGGCGCUUGAGAGAACUCAGGAGAAGGAACUCGGCAAAUUGACACCGUAACUUCGGAAGAAGGUGUGCCCUAUUAGUGUGUAGUGAACAACGAAGCAUGAAUGGGUUGCAAAAAAUCGGUGGCUGCGACUGUUUAUUAAAAACACAGCACUCUGCAAACACGAAAGUGGACGUAUAGGGUGUGACGCCUGCCCGGUGCUGGAAGAUUAAAUGAUGGGGUGCAAGCUCUUGAUUGAAGUCCCAGUAAACGGCGGCCGUAACUAUAACGGUCCUAAGGUAGCGAAAUUCCUUGUCGGGUAAGUUCCGACCUGCACGAAUGGCGUAACGAUGGCCACACUGUCUCCUCCUGAGACUCAGCGAAGUUGAAAUGUUUGUGAUGAUGCAAUCUCCCCGCGGAAAGACGGAAAGACCCCAUGAACCUUUACUGUAGCUUUGUAUUGGACUUUGAACAGAUCUGUGUAGGAUAGGUGGGAGGCUUUGAAGCAGGGUCGCUAGAUCUUGUGGAGCCAACGUUGAAAUACCACCCUGGUGUGUUUGAGGUUCUAACCUAGGUCCAUUAUCUGGAUCGGGGACAGUGCAUGGUAGGCAGUUUGACUGGGGCGGUCUCCUCCCAAAGCGUAACGGAGGAGUUCGAAGGUACGCUAGUUACGGUCGGACAUCGUGACGAUAGUGCAAUGGCAUAAGCGUGCUUAACUGCGAGACUGACAAGUCGAGCAGAUGCGAAAGCAGGACAUAGUGAUCCGGUGGUUCUGUAUGGAAGGGCCAUCGCUCAACGGAUAAAAGGUACUCUGGGGAUAACAGGCUGAUACCGCCCAAGAGUUCAUAUCGACGGCGGUGUUUGGCACCUCGAUGUCGGCUCAUCUCAUCCUGGGGCUGUAGCCGGUCCCAAGGGUAUGGCUGUUCGCCAUUUAAAGAGGUACGUGAGCUGGGUUUAAAACGUCGUGAGACAGUUUGGUCCCUAUCUUCCGUGGGCGCUGCAGAUUUGAGGAAGCCUGCUCCUAGUACGAGAGGACCGGAGUGGACACACCUCUGGUGUAUCGGUUGUCACGCCAGUGGCAUUGCCGAGUAGCUAAGUGUGGAAGAGAUAACCGCUGAAAGCAUCUAAGCGGGAAACUCGUUUCAAGAUGAGAUCUGCCGGGGCCUUGAGCCCCCUAAAGAGUCGUUCAAGACCAGGACGUUGAUAGGUCAGGUGUGGAAGC
rnacentral:rRNA from 1 species